CUCCACCAGAUCAUCGGUCAGGCCAAGAAGCAUCCAAACUUGAUCUCCCUCUUAGUAUUUAUUGGAGCUAGAGGUACUGGAGCAGGACUGUAUCUCUUGCGUCUGGCAUUUUUCAAUCCAGAUGUUAGUUGGGACUGAAAGAAUCACCCAGAUCCCUGGAACAAACUGGGUCCCGAUGAUCAAUUCAAGUUCUACUCAAUUAAUGUGGAUCACAGCAAACUGAAGAAAGAAGGUCCAGAUUUC
rnacentral:lncRNA from 1 species